GCUAAUACCGCAUAAUGUCGCAGGACCAAAGAGGGGGACCUUCGGGCCUCUUGCCAUCAGAUGUGCCCAGAUGGGAUUAGCUUGUUGGUGAGGUAACGGCUCACCAAGGCGACGAUCCCUAGCUGGUCUGAGAGGAUGACCAGCCACACUGGAACUGAGACACGGUCCAGACUCCUACGGGAGGCAGCAGUGGGGAAUAUUGCACAAUGGGCGCAAGCCUGAUGCAGCCAUGCCGCGUGUAUGAAGAAGGCCUUCGGGUUGUAAAGUACUUUCAGCGGGGAGGAAGGGGAUAAGGCUAAUAACCUUGUUCAUUGACGUUACCCGCAGAAGAAGCACCGGCUAACUCCGUGCCAGCAGCCGCGGUAAUACGGAGGGUGCAAGCGUUAAUCGGAAUUACUGGGCGUAAAGCGCACGCAGGCGGUCUGUCAAGUCGGAUGUGAAAUCCCCGGGCUCAACCUGGGAAC
rnacentral:rRNA from 1 species